UGAUUUUUUCAGGAUCAGCUGAGAUGUUAUUUCACUGGAUUAUUUAAUGGAUAGACUUAUUGGGCAUAUAUUUGGAUAUCUCUGUCAUCAACAUGGAAGAUAUGUUUUGUUCCUAACCAUCUAUAAUUAAUUCUCUAUGAAGUUCAGACUGUCUGCUCUUCCUUUGGAAAUACACAGUUAGUCAACCAACAUAGAAACACACAAACUUGAAGGAUUCUCUAGUGAGGGCUUAUGGAAAUGAUCUAUGUCUACUCUCAGAAUGGUGAAAGACUAUCAGAUUAUGCAAAGACUAACAGAAUAUCCUGUCUUGAACACUGAAACAAGAAAACCAAACAGGAGAUGGAUGGACGAUUUAAGAAGAACAUAGAUAAAUAUGAUUUCCAACCAAUUUAACCAGUACGAUCAUAGACUGUGGUUUACAGGAUGACAAAGAAAGGACCCAGGAUUGUAUCUUUUUACUGUCAGACACUGACUAUGGAUAAGAUGUAAUCAUUUAUUAAACUGAGAUCUAGUCAAAUCAAGUACAAUUGUAUUGAAAAUAUGAUUUUCUGAUAGCAUGAACUCUUUAAAAAUUAAUUCUCACGGACCUCAAAGUAUCUGAAUGUGACUUUUAUUUUUACCAAUUCCUAUUGAAGACUGUUGUUAUGUAUGAGAAGUAUACAUUUAAACCUUUUAUUUUUCAUCUUAUUUCUAUAACCCCCUAGAAAUUACACAGAUAUUCAGAUGCUGGAUUUAAUAUUAUUAUUUAACUUUCCUGGAAUGGUAAAUAUAUUUGUGUAUGUAUCAUGUUUAAUUUUGAAUUUAAAUUGGGUCUCAAUAAGACCCCCAAUAAAGAUGCAAGUGUCCCAUAAUCUGUGAUUUAAUAAUAUCUUGAAUAUCCUUAUCAUACCAUAUUGUACAUAUUUAUUACAUAUAGAAUGGUUGUAGGAAUACACUUUGUUGUUUAGGACACUUUGUCAAGGUCAAAGCAUAAGAUUACUAUAAAUACCUUUGACAAUAAUUUGUAACCUGCAAAAUUCGCAUCAUAAGUAAAGAAAGAUUCGGAGAUUUUCUAUAGAUUUUUUGGAUCAUUUUCUCCUGGAUAAAAUUUAGUUGUUGUAACUUUAACAUUUUGUGAUAACCUAAAGACUUUAUAUCAGCUCUAUUGGGUGGCAUAGCAUAUUCUUUGGAAAGAAUUGAAAUGUUAAUCAUAUGCACUAUGUUCAAGGAUGUUUAAAGACUAUUACUAUGUAAUACCUUAGAAUUCUGUACAAAUUUUAUUAUCACUGCGUAGAUAAAGACUGGUUGGGAUAAUUUAUGUUUUGAAAUAAGGUUUAGGGAAAAAAGUCAAGAAUGUGGAUAUGACUUUUAUUCAAAUGGUGCAGUACAGCAACUCUGGUGAUUUACAUACCUUCAGUCAUAAAUACAUGUAGAUAGGUAUU